UACCAGCACCCCGAGUGGUCGGGACGAUUAUUGGGCCGUAAAGCAUCCGUAGCCGGCCUUACAAGUCCCCCGUUAAAUCCAACGUGCCUUAACAGAUGGGCUGCGGAGGAUACUAUAAGACUAGGAGGCAGGAGAGGCAAGCGGUAACUCAGUGGGUAGGGGUAAAAUCCGUUGAUCCAUUGAAGACCACCAGUGGCGAAGGCGG
rnacentral:rRNA from 1 species